GACGAACGCUGGCGGCGUGCUUAACACAUGCAAGUCAAGGGGGGCCCGCAAGGGUAACCGGCGAACGGGUGCGUAACACGUGAGCAAUCUGCCUAGAUGUGGGGGAUAGCCGGCCCAACGGCCGGGUAAUACCGCAUACGCUCACCGGGUGGCAUCACCUGGUGAGGAAACAUUUUUUGGCAUCUAGAGGAGCUCGCGGCCUAUCAGCUAGUUGGUGGGGUAAUGGCCUACCAAGGCAUUGACGGGUAGCUGGUCUGAGAGGAUGGCCAGCCACAUUGGGACUGAGAUACGGCCCAGACUCCUACGGGUGGCUG
rnacentral:rRNA from 1 species